rnacentral:rRNA from 1 species
AGAGUUUGAUCCUGGCUCAGGACAAACGCUGGCGGCGUGCCUAAAACAUGCGAGUCGUACGGACUCUUCGGAGUCAGUGGCGGACGGCUGAGUAACGCGUGGGUAACCUACCCGUGAGUGUGGAAUAACCCUCCGAAAGGAGGGCUAAUACCGCAUACGACCACGAGCCUGCGGACUCGUGAGGAAAGUCGCAAGGCGCUCGCGGAGGGGCCCGCGUCCGAUUAGCUAGUUGGUGGGGUAACGGCCUACCAAGGCGUCGAUCGGUAGCUGGUCUGAGAGGAUGAUCAGCCAGACUGGGACUGUGACACGGCCCAGACUCCUACGGGAGGCAGCAGUUAGGAAUCUUGGGCAAUGGGCGAAAGCCUGACCCAGCAACGCCGCGUGGGUGACGAAGGCCUUCGGGUCGUAAAGCCCUUUUCCACGGGAAGAUAAUGACGGUACCGUGGGAAUAAGCCCCGGCUAACUACGUGCCAGCAGCCGCGGUAAUACGUAGGGGGCGAGCGUUGUCCGGAUUUAUUGGGCGUAAAACGCUUGUAGUGGCUACGUCAAGUCGGACGUGAAAUCUCCCGGCUUAACUGGGAGGGGUCGCUCGAUACUGGCGAGCUCGAGGCAGGUAGGGGGAAGCGGAAUUCCCGGUGUAGUGGUGGAAUGCGUAGAUAUCGGGAGGAACACCAGUGGCGAAGGCGGCUUCCUGGACCUGUUCUGACACUGAGGAGCGAAAGCGUGGGGAGCGAUCCGGAUUAGAUACCCGGGUAGUCCACGCCGUAAACGGUGAGCACUAGGUGUCGGGGGUAUCGACCCCUCCGGUGCCGCAGCUAACGCAUUAAGUGCUCUGCCUGGGGAGUACGGCCGCAAGGCUAAAACUCAAAGGAAUUGACGGGGGCCCGCACAAGCAGCGGAGCGUGUGGUUUAAUUCGAUGCAACGCGAAGAACCUCACCCAGGCUUGACAUGGCUGAAGUAGAACCCUGAAAGGGGAACGACCCGUAAAGUCGGGAGCAGUCACAGGUGCUGCAUGGCUGUCGUCAGCUCGUGCCGUGAGGUGUUGGGUUAAGUCCCGCAACGAGCGCAACCCUCUCGUUAGUUACUAUGUCUAACGCGACCGCCGGUCUUAAACCGGAGGAAGGUGGGGAUGACGUCAAGUCAGCACGGCCCUUACGCCUGGGGCUACACACACGCUACAAUGGCCGGUACAAUGGGACGCCAAAGGGUGACCUGGAGCAAAUCCUAUCAAAACCGGUCUCAGUUGGGAUUGGAGGCUGCAACUCGCCUCCAUGAACGCGGAGUUGCUAGUAACCGCAGGUCAGCACACUGCGGUGAAUACGUUCCCGGGCCUUGUACACACCGCCCGUCACGUCAUGAAAGUUGGAAACGCCUGAAGUCGGUGGGCCAACCGUAAGGGGGCAGCUGCCGAGGGUGGAGCCAGCGAUUGGGACGAAGUCGUAACAAGGUA